GCGCCAUUGGCCAAAUGGUAAGGCUUCCGCCUCCUAAGCGGAGGAUUGCGGGUUCGAGUCCCGUGUGGCGUG
rfam:Tortispora caseinolytica NRRL Y-17796 unplaced genomic scaffold CANCAscaffold_3, whole genome shotgun sequence.